GAUUGCACCCCCUUGCUAAUUGUGUGACACUCAAGCUUUUUUCUAUCUUGCACCAAGUGAUGAUGUGAUACAGAAGCAGACAGCCAUAAAUGGCCAAAAAAAGCUUAAUUAAGUAUUCUGCAGCUGCUACAAAUUAGAUCAGCAUCUGCAUCUGUGCAGACAAUGAAAUUCAUGGUAAUUUUGAGGGCCAAGCAAAGUGGAGGUUUGUUUUGGAUGGACGCCUAGCCACAAUUCAAACAAAAUUCCGACUCAAGCAUAUUCUAAGAGGGGAAAAAAAGCGGUUGGACGUUCUGUGCUGCAAAACUUCUUUACCUCUGGACAUGACUGAAUUGUUUUCUUUGCUGUUGAUCAGCUAAAGGGGCAAGAGCUGGAGAACAGGUACAUGUUUGGAAGGGGUUUAGAAAAUUUUCUAGCUCCUAAGUGAGAGUGUCUUUUUGUGAAGGGUCUUUUUGUACUCUACAUAUUCAUGUAGAGGAAGACAAGAGAAUAGGAAUACGGGUAGAAAUAACUCAAGAGGACUGUUGCUAGUGGGUAUAAACAGGUUAAGAAUUUUUGGAUUAAAUGGAGAUUCAGUGAGGAGUUCCCACAUCCUUUUUGCAGAUUAUACCUAGCAGUUGGGAAGCUGUUUAAAGAGUGCUUUUUCCCAAGAACAAAGAAACCAAGUGCUUCUUUACCCUAAGUGGAAGCCAGUUCCCUUGUAUUUCUGUGGAAGAAUGCAAGCCUAAAUCUCAUUUCAGUGAGAUGAGGUGUAGUAUUAAAUGGUUAAUGCAUUGAUUUAGUGCAAGAACAUAUAAUUAAAUAGACAGAUGUAUUUUUUGCAACUUCUGAUAUACAAGUAGAUUGUCUCACAGUUUCUACUAUUUUUCUCAGUGUCAAUACACUCUUUUAGAAUUACUGCACAUGAUAAUAAUUUAUUACCAAGCAUUCUUUCUACAAUAAUUUUAAAAUCAGGAGAUGGGUUGCUACUAGAGACUAUUUGCAUAUAGUCAUAUGGGGCUUUAA
rnacentral:lncRNA from 1 species